ACCAGGAUGGCUGAGUGGUUAAGGCACUGGACUUAAGAUCCAGUAGACAUUUGCCUGUGUGGGUUCAAACCCCACUUCUGGUA
rnacentral:tRNA from 1 species